AGAGUUUGAUCAUGGCUCAGAACGAACGCUGGCGGCAUGCCUAACACAUGCAAGUCGAACGCCUGUAGCAAUACAGGAGUGGCGGACGGGUGAGUAACGCGUGGGGACCUGCCUCGAAGUUCGGAAUAACCGCGGGAAACUGCGGCUAAUACCGGAUGUGGCCUGAGGGCCAAAGGGGAAACUCGCUUCGAGAGGGGCCCGCGUCCGAUUAGCUAGUUGGUGAGGUAACGGCUCACCAAGGCGACGAUCGGUAGCUGGUCUGAGAGGAUGAUCAGCCACACUGGGACUGAGACACGGCCCAGACUCCUACGGGAGGCAGCAGUGGGGAAUAUUGGACAAUGGGGGCAACCCUGAUCCAGCAAUGCCGCGUGAGUGAUGAAGGCCUUCGGGUUGUAAAGCUCUUUUGGCGGGGACGAUGAUGACGGUACCCGCAGAAUAAGCCCCGGCUAACUUCGUGCCAGCCGCCGCGGUAAUAC
rnacentral:rRNA from 1 species